rnacentral:rRNA from 1 species
UAUGUAGGUGGUUUCGCAAGUUUGGUGUGAAAUCUCCCGGCUCAACUGGGAGGGUGCGCCGAAAACUGCGAGGCUAGAGUGCGGGAGAGGAGAGCGGAAUUCCUGGUGUAGCGGUGAAAUGCGUAGAUAUCAGGAGGAACACCUGCGGUGUAGACGGCUCUCUGGACCGCUACUGACACUGAGAUACGAAAGCGUGGGGAGCAAACAGGAUUAGAUACCCUGGUAGUCCACGCCCUAAACGAUGCACACUUGGUGUGGGCAGUUCAUUCUGUCCGUGCCGGAGCUAACGCGUUAAGUGUGCCGCCUGGGGAGUACGGUCGCAAGGCUGAA